rnacentral:rRNA from 1 species
GACGAACGCUGGCGGCGUGCCUAAUACAUGCAAGUUGAGCGCUGAAGGUUGGUACUUGUACCAACUGGAUGAGCAGCGAACGGGUGAGUAACGCGUGGGGAAUCUGCCUUUGAGCGGGGGACAACAUUUGGAAACGGAUGCUAAUACCGCAUAAAAACUUUAAACACAAGUUUUAAGUUUGAAAGAUGCAAUUGCAUCACUCAAAGAUGAUCCCGCGUUGUAUUAGCUAGUUGGUGAGGUAAAGGCUCACCAAGGCGAUGAUACAUAGCCGACCUGAGAGGGUGAUCGGCCACAGUGGGACUGAGACACGGCCCAAACUCCUACGGGAGGCAGCAGUAGGGAAUCUUCGGCAAUGGACGAAAGGCUGACCGAGCAACGCCGCGUGAGUGAAGAAGGUUUUCGGAUCGUAAAACUCGGUUGGUAGAGAAGAACGUUGGUGAGAGUGGAAAGCUCAUCAAGUGACGGUAACUACCCAGAAAGGGACGGCUAACUACGUG